rnacentral:rRNA from 1 species
AAUACAUCGGAACGUGCCUAGUAGUGGGGGAUAACUACUCGAAAGAGUGGCUAAUACCGCAUGGGAUCUACGGAUGAAAGCAGGGGAUCGCAAGACCUUGUGCUACUAGAGCGGCCGAUGGCAGAUUAGGUAGUUGGUGGGAUAAAAGCUUACCAAGCCGACGAUCUGUAGCUGGUCUGAGAGGACGAUCAGCCACACUGGGACUGAGACACGGCCCAGACUCCUACGGGAGGCAGCAGUGGGGAAUUUUGGACAAUGGGCGCAAGCCUGAUCCAGCAAUGCCGCGUGCAGGAUGAAGGCCUUCGGGUUGUAAACUGCUUUUGUACGGAACGAAAAGCCCUGGGUUAAUACCCUGGGGUCAUGACGGUACCGUAAGAAUAAGCACCGGCUAACUACGUGCCAGCAGCCGCGGUAAUACGUAGGGUGCGAGCGUUAAUCGGAAUUACUGGGCGUAAAGCGUGCGCAGGCGGUUUUGUAAGACAGAGGUGAAAUCCCCGGGCUCAACCUGGGAACUGCCUUUGUGACUGCAAGGCUAGAGUACGGCAGAGGGGGAUGGAAUUCCGCGUGUAGCAGUGAAAUGCGUAGAUAUGCGGAGG